UACAGAGGUCCCAAGCGUUGUUCGGAUUCACUGGGCGUAAAGGGUGCGUAGGCGGUCGGGUAAGUCUGAUGUGAAAAUCUCACAGCUUAACUGUGAAACUGCAUUGGAUACUAUCCGGCUCGAGGAAUGGAGGGGAGACUGGAAUACUUGGUGUAGCAGUGAAAUGCGUAGAUAUCAAGUGGAACACCAGUGGCGAAGGCGAGUCUCUGGACAUUUCCUGACGCUGAGGCACGAAAGCCAGGGGAGCAAACGGG
rnacentral:rRNA from 1 species